UACGUAGGGUGCAAGCGUUAAUCGGAAUGACUGGGCGUAAAGCGAGCGCAGGCGGUCUGUUAAGACAGUCGUGAAAUCCCCGGGCUUAACCUGGGAAUGGCGAUUGUGACUGGCAAGCUAGAGUGUGUCAGAGGGAGGUGGAAUUCCGCGUGUAGCAGUGAAAUGCGUAGAGAUGCGGAGGAACACCGAUGGCGAAGGCAGCCUCCUGGGAUAACACUGACGCUCAUGCUCGAAAGCGUGGGGAGCAAACAGG
rnacentral:rRNA from 1 species